GCCUCGGUGGAGCAAUUGGCAGAUCAUCCCUACCUAAUGAAAGCUCGAUGCAGUAUGUACGUGGGAAGACGGAGGUUCGAAUCCUCCCUGAGGCA